rnacentral:lncRNA from 1 species
AGCCUCACCGCCUAGCCUCCCUCCUGUCUGCCAGACUGCGGACUCCGACAGGUCCCAGGGCCAAGGCCAGAGCGGCACACAGGGGCGGGACUGCGCGCGGCUCCGGGGACUCACCGAUCCGUUGUCCCACCGGAGAGCUGAACGGAUUUCCCAGGAGAAAGUCCAUUGCCGCGGCUACCGCUGCCACCAGCUCCCAGAAUCAGGCGGUGUCCAAUGAGGCUGAGGGACUCUCCCAGCAACUGGAGAUGAGCAGCGACAU